GAAACGAGCGUUACCAUGGCAACCCUGCGGCGGAAGCUCUGAGAAGCUCUUGGCCUCUACCGGUUCUGCGAGAAAGUAAACUUUGGGCACGACAAGUCAUGAAGUCGGCACGUUGGGGAGACACCGUGUCACAAUGACAAGGUUUCUAGUUCGUGCUUUGUUCAGAUUGCCCAGAAGCUGAUGAUCACAGAGAAGAGGUCAUAUUUGUCAUGAGAAAGCUUUCCUGCACCAGGAUUCAGUAAAGGCGUUUACCAGCAGGGCCCAUGGUGCCUCCAGAGGCAGGAUGGUGCUCAAAACCCAUCACUGAGGCCAGGAAGUGAGGACAAAA
rnacentral:lncRNA from 1 species